ensembl:lncRNA
UGAAGGGACCAGCUCCCCAUUUCGGCAGCCACGACAGUAACACGUGCUUGCCAUAACCUUGCCUGGGUCACUUAGAGGUCAGAUGCCUGCCUUGUGGCAAGGAACCAAUCAGAAGUUAGCUGGUGGUGCUAUGCUUUAUGGCUCUGGGUGUGCUUUACAGACAAGCGCACAGCAAUGAUGCACAGAGCAUAAUUACCACCCUGGGAGAGCCUAUGGGCCAUAACAACCAGUUGACCAAUCAACACAGGGCAAACCCUCCAAGCCUGGAGGCACACCAAUCCUGAGCCUGUGCAUACCCCUAGACUUUCCCCUUAGAAUGCUGCCCUAUAAAGAUCUGUACACAGCAGCUUCAAACUGUCUUUGCUAGCCAUCCGCCAUGGCGGGUGGGUGAAAGACCCAAGCAAACAUGGGGUUAGCUCGUUUAAAAAACAAAACAAAACAAUAAAGCCUCAUGCAGUUUGCAGCAAGCUCUCGAAUCCACCUGGUGAUUGGGGUGACCUCAGUUGUUGCCUGGGACCCUGGAUACCUGAGUUUUCCGGGGGGUCUUACAUUUCGGGGCUCGUCCUGGAUUUGCAACCACCCCUCACCUGAGUGGAGUCGAUCUUGGGGUCCCUCGAGUCUCGGGAAGAGACAAGAGCUCUGGUCUCUGGAGGAGACAGAGUGUGAUCAGCAGACAUGCUAGGAGAUCACCGACUGCCACCCUGGAAGACGUUCCAGGAAGUCUGUGGGAACCUCAGGGGCACUUGGGAGAUUGCCAUCUGGGAGCCGGUUUCUGCUUCUGGCAGACAUCUGAGUAUCAGUUGCUGACUACAGGCUGUUCUAAGUAGACUUCGAGCCCUGGACUUGCUGUGGAUAUGAACCAGUUCAGCUGAUAAAGACAUCCCCUGUCUCUGCAACAGAAUCUGCCAAUCAGAAGCUCCUGAUGGAUUCCCCAUUGCCUAAAUUCCUUUUUUGCUUUUGACUAGCAUUUCAACCUUCUGGGGUCCCUAACUUCGUCCCAAAGUCAGCAGGAAGUAGCUUGGGAAAGAAUUCACCACCCAUUUUCCCUGGUUAAAAUGCUAAAUCAGAAGGGACUCCCUUGCAUGGGGAUGCCAAUAUCUCUCACUCCCUGAUGGGGGCGCUAGAGAGACAGCAAUUCCAUGAUUGGAAUUUCCAAAAAAGAAAAUGGGGGAAUGAAGGGACCAGCUCCCCAUUUCGGCAGCCACGACAGUAACACGUGCUUGCCAUAACCUUGCCUGGGUCACUUAGAGGUCAGAUGCCUGCCUUGUGGCAAGGAACCAAUCAGAAGUUAGCUGGUGGUGCUAUGCUUUAUGGCUCUGGAUGUGCUUUACAGACAAGCGCACAGCAAUGAUGCACAGAGCAUAACAACCACCCUGGGAGAGCCUAUGGGCCAUAACAACCAGUUGACCAAUCAACACAGGGCAAACCCUCCAAGCCUGGAGGCACACCAAUCCUGAGCCUGUGCAUACCCCUAGACUUUCCCCUUAGAAUGCUGCCCUAUAAAGAUCUGUACACAGCAGCUUCGAACUGUCUUUGCUAGCCAUCCGCCAUGGGUGGGUGAAAGACCCGAGCAAACAUGGGGUUAGCUCGUUUAAAAAACAAAACAAAACAAUAAAGCCUCAUGCAGUUUGCAGCAAGUUCUCGAAUCCACCUGGUGAUUGGGGUGACCUCGGUUGUUGCCUGGGACCCCGGAUACCUGAGUUUUCCGGGGGUCUUACAGAGUUAACUCCAUCCUCUCCCGUUUACCUUGCUCUUAUAGGCAGCAUCCCUUUUUCUCUGUGAGGUGGCAUGCUUCCAGUAGUUCAAACAUUGAACACACUGUAUGCUGACUGAAAGGUGAGGUGUUCUGGGGACUGAGACACAGACCUUUUUCUAACAGAGACAGGUUUCUCUGUGUAGCUUUGUAGCCUGUCCUGGAACUCAAUCUGUAGCCCAGGCUGACCUCAAACUCACAGAGAUUCAUCUGCCUCUGCCUCCUGAGUGCUGGGCAUGGGCCACCAAUGCCCGGUGGAUAUGGAUAUUUUUUAUGGGCUGUGAUUCAGCCUUCUAGGGCUGUAUUAACUUGGAACUUCAUUCCUGAGCAAGGAGUUAAAGGAAAAGUUACAAACCAUUUGCUCCUAAAAUGUAAAACUAUCAGUAGAGUUCAUACCUUCCCCUUCCUAAACUGUCCUGAGGGAAUAGGGCCAUUGUUUGAAUUCUGAGGCAGAGCCACAGGGCUUCACCCCUUCCUGGUUCUGUGACCUUUACUGAGAAGCUUAACCACUCUAAGUAGUUACUUCCUCAUUCGUGAAAUGAGAUUCACAGCACUGUGACAUGAGCUGGUAUCUCCUGCUAGACCCAACUGAAGUUUCCUCAACUUCAGUCCCAACACUUGGGAGGCAGGCAGAUGUCUGUGAGUUUGAGGCCAGCCUGGUCUACAAAGUGAGUUCUAAGACAGUCAGGGCUUCACAGUGUGACCCUGUCGCAAAAAUACAGAACAAAACAAAGAACCAGAACGCACAUAGGGCAGGCUGCAAACACUACUGCACCUAGAUCUAGCCAAGGGGCAGGAAAGGCUUCCUGGAGGAAGUGACGGGGUAGGAAGAGUUGGGGCUUGUGGUGAUGGUGAAAUUACCUGUUGCCAAACUGCAAUCUAACACAUGUACCAAGCAAUGCUUCAUAUUAACACCUAGGUGAGUGAGAGCUGAGCACUUAGUAACAUUGUGUGGGGUUACAUGCAUAUGCAAGUAUGUUUAUAUAUAUGUGGGGAUAUGCACAUGGGCAGGUAUGUUUGCACAUAUGUGGAGACCAGAAGUCGUAAUGUCUUCCUCCAUCACUUGUCACCUUGUUUUCUGAGAAAGGGUCUGUUACAGAAUUCUGCUAGGCUAAUGAACUCCCUGGAUUCUUUUGUCUACUCCCUCAACCAUGAGUCUGGGGUUACAGACGCAUGUUCCUACACCCAGUUUUUAUGUGAGUGCUGGGAUCCAAACCCAGGUCCUCAUGCUUGCACAGUAGGCACGGUACAAACUGACCUAUCUCCCUAGCCCCCAGCACUGCUUUUAGUAGUUAUGAAACUUGCCAGGCAUGGUGGCUCAUGCUUGUAAACCUGGCACUUAGGUAGAAGAGGCAGG